GAUGAACGCUGGCGGCGUGCCUAAUACAUGCAAGUCGAGCGAACAGACGAGGAGCUUGCUCCUCUGACGUUAGCGGCGGACGGGUGAGUAACACGUGGAUAACCUACCUAUAAGACUGGGAUAACUUCGGGAAACCGGAGCUAAUACCGGAUAAUAUAUUGAACCGCAUGGUUCAAUAGUGAAAGACGGUUUUGCUGUCACUUAUAGAUGGAUCCGCGCCGCAUUAGCUAGUUGGUAAGGUAACGGCUUACCAAGGCAACGAUGCGUAGCCGACCUGAGAGGGUGGUCGGCCACACUGGAGCUGAGACACGGUCCAGACUCCUGCGGGAGGCAGCAGUAGGGAAUCUUCCGCAAUGGGCGAAAGCCUGACGGAGCAACGCCGCGUGAGUGAUGAAGGUCUUCGGAUCGUAAAACUCUGUUAUUAGGGAAGAACAAAUGUGUAAGUAACUAUGCACGUCUUGACGGUACCUAAUCAGAAAGCCACGGCUAACUACGUG
rnacentral:rRNA from 1 species